AUUGAACGCUGGCGGCAGGCCUAACACAUGCAAGUCGAACGAGUAGCGGACGGGUGAGUAAUGUCUGGGAAACUGCCUGAUGGAGGGGGAUAACUACUGGAAACGGUAGCUAAUACCGCCUACCAUCGGAUGUGCCCAGAUGGGCUUAGCUAGUAGGUGGUGGAAAGACUCACCUAGGCGACGCUCCCUAGCUGGUCUGAGAGGAUGACCGACCACACUGGAACUGAGACACGUUCCAGACUCCUACGGUAGGCAGCAGUGGGGAAUAUUGCACAAUGGGCUCAAGCCUGAUGCAGCGAUGCCGCGUGUAUGAAGAAGGCCUGCGGGUUGUAAAGUACUUUCGGCGGGGAGGCGUUACCCGCAGAAGAAGCACCGUCUAACUCCGUGCCAGCAGCCGCGGUAAGUC
rnacentral:rRNA from 1 species